GGAGACGUGGCAGAGCGGCCGAAUGCGCUCCCCUGCUAAGGGAGUAGGUGGUGAGAAACCGCCUCGGAGGUUCAAAUCCUCUCGUCUCCGCCC
rnacentral:tRNA from 3 species